rnacentral:rRNA from 1 species
UGAACGCUGGUGGCGUGCUUAACACAUGCAAGUCGAACGGUGAAGCCAAGCUUGCUUGGUGGAUCAGUGGCGAACGGGUGAGUAACACGUGAGCAACCUGCCCUGGACUCUGGGAUAAGCGCUGGAAACGGCGUCUAAUACUGGAUAUGAGACGUGAUCGCAUGGUCAACGUUUGGAAAGAUUUUUCGGUCUGGGAUGGGCUCGCGGCCUAUCAGCUUGUUGGUGAGGUAAUGGCUCACCAAGGCGUCGACGGGUAGCCGGCCUGAGAGGGUGACCGGCCACACUGGGACUGAGACACGGCCCAGACUCCUACGGGAGGCAGCAGUGGGGAAUAUUGCACAAUGGGCGGAAGCCUGAUGCAGCAACGCCGCGUGAGGGAUGACGGCCUUCGGGUUGUAAACCUCUUUUAGCAGGGAAGAAGCGAAAGUGACGUUACCUGCAGAAAAAGCGCCGGCUAACUACGUGCCAGCAGCCGCGGUAAUACGUAGGGCGCAAGCGUUAUCCGGAAUUAUUGGGCGUAAAGAGCUCGUAGGCGGUUUGUCGCGUCUGCUGUGAAAUCCCGAGGCUCAACCUCGGGCCUGCAGUGGGUACGGGCAGACUAGAGUGCGGUAGGGGAGAUUGGAAUUCCUGGUGUAGCGGUGGAAUGCGCAGAUAUCAGGAGGAACACCGAUGGCGAAGGCAGAUCUCUGGGCCGUAACUGACGCUGAGGAGCGAAAGGGUGGGGAGCAAACAGGCUUAAUACCCUGGUAGUCCACCCCGUAAACGUUGGGAACUAGUUGUGGGGACCAUUCCACGGUUUCCGUGACGCAGCUAACGCAUUAAGUUCCCCGCCUGGGGAGUACGGCCGCAAGGCUAAAACUCAAAGGAAUUGACGGGGACCCGCACAAGCGGCGGAGCAUGCGGAUUAAUUCGAUGCAACGCGAAGAACCUUACCAAGGCUUGACAUACACCAGAACGGGCCAGAAAUGGUCAACUCUUUGGACACUGGUGAACAGGUGGUGCAUGGUUGUCGUCAGCUCGUGUCGUGAGAUGUUGGGUUAAGUCCCGCAACGAGCGCAACCCUCGUUCUAUGUUGCCAGCACGUAAUGGUG